UACGUAGGGGGCAAGCGUUAUCCGGAUUCAUUGGGCGUAAAGAGCUCGUAGGCGGCCCGUUAGGUCAGGAGUCAAAUUCGGGGGCUCAACCCCCGCGCGCUCCUGAUACCGGCGGGCUUGAGUUUGGUAGGGGAAGGUGGAAUUCCCAGUGUAGCGGUGGAAUGCGCAGAUAUUGGGAAGAACACCGGUGGCGAAGGCGGCCUUCUGGGCCAUAACUGACGCUGAGGAGCGAAAGCUAGGGGAGCGAACAGG
rnacentral:rRNA from 1 species